UUCUCUUAGCAUUAUUCCCCAUGGCCAGUUUCACAGACACAGGACCCAAACAAGUCUUGUGUCAUCUUCUCUUCUGCUCCAGGAAAGGAAGGCUGUUAAGUUUUUCCCAGCAAUGGCAACCCAUCUCUGUGUUUAUUCCAGGCAGUACUUUUGGACCCACAGCACCCAGCUGCUCAAGGAUCUUCCAAAUGCAAGGUAGAAGAUAGGGAUCUGAGAAGUCCGGUCACCGGCUCAUAACGGCUGCUGUUUGCUAGGGCACUGCCGCAGACCGGACGCUCUGAUUUCAGGUUGGUUACUUCCUCUUCUUUCUUUCUUUUUUAAAAGAAAUCCUCUUCUCUUUUACCUAUGCUUUUCUGCCUUCCUUCAUCGAAAACAAUUCAUAAAUCAUAUUGUCUAUGAAGCUGUCUCAUCGCUGAGAAAAGGAAGUAAUGACAGCCUCCUGUAUUUCCUGUCUUCUCACUUCCCUCCCCCUUCGCCGGCACCCAGCCACCCCCACCAAGGAAGGGAACCUAACACUUGACUCCCUUUGUUCUUCUCCACCAAAAAAAUACCUGUAAAAAGGACUGCUUAUAAAUGAGCAAAAUGUACAGGUGUGCCUUACAGUAUGGAAUAAAAAUGUUCUUGCAAACUGUGCA
ensembl:lncRNA